rnacentral:rRNA from 1 species
UACGUAGGUGGCAAGCGUUGUCCGGAUUUACUGGGCGUAAAGGAUGCGUAGGCGGACAUUUAAGUCAGAUGUGAAAUACCCGAGCUUAACUUGGGUGCUGCAUUUGAAACUGGGUGUCUAGAGUGCAGGAGAGGUAAGUGGAAUUCCUAGUGUAGCGGUGAAAUGCGUAGAGAUCGGCAGGAACACCCAGGGGGAAACCAGUGGACUGGCACGGUGCUGACGCUCAGGUGCGAAAGCGUGGGGAGCGAACCGG